AGGUCGUCUGAGGUCCUCUCUGUCUUGUUAUGUCUUUUACGUCGUGUCAUCAUCCGUGGAGGUUGAAACAAGUAACGAGCCAGUUUUGAGAAUUUAAGGACUAUAAAGUGCAGAUAUUUGUGUUUAAAUAUAGGAAGUAAAAGUAAAAAGUUGUCAGGAAAAUUCUUCUCUGAUUAUACAAACUGGGACAUUUUGAAAUUGCAGUUGGUCUCCUGAUUGCUCCUGGCUGAGUCAUAUAGUUUAUGUAUUAAUCUCU
rnacentral:misc_RNA from 1 species